AACAGGGAUUUCCAUGAAAAUAAGUGAUAUUUAAGGGGAAAAACAGGGAUUUCUAUGAAAAUAAGCGAUAUUUCAGGUUAAAAACAGGGAUUUCUAUGAAAAUAAGCGAUAUUUCAGGUGAAAAACAGGGAUUUCUAUGAAAAUAAGCGAUAUUUUAGGUUAAAAACAGGGAUUUCUAUGAAAAUAAGCGAUAUUUAAGGAUAAAAACAGGGAUUUCUAUGAAAAUAAGCGAUAUUUAAGGUUAAAAACAGGGAUUUCUAUGAAAAUAAGCGAUAUUUAAGGUUAAAAACAGGGAUUUCUAUGAAAAUAAGCGAUAUUUUAGGUUAAAAACGGGGAUUUCUAUGAAAAUAAGCGAUAUUUUAGGUUAAAAACAGGGAUUUCUAUGAAAAUAAGCGAUAUUUCAGGGGAAAAACAGGGAUUUCUAUGAAAAUAAGCGAUAUUUCAGGUUAAAAACAGGGAUUUCUAUGAAAAUAAGCGAUAUUUAAGGUUAAAAACAGGGAUUUCUAUGAAAAUAAGCGAUAUUUUAGGUUAAAAAGAGGGAUUUCUAUGAAAAUAAGCGAUAUUUAAGGUUAAAAACAGGGAUUUCUAUGAAAAUAAGCGAUAUUUUAGGUUAAAAACGGGGAUUUCUAUGAAAAUAAGCGAUAUUUUAGGUUAAAAACAGGGAUUUCUAUGAAAAUAAGCGAUAUUUCAGGGGAAAAACAGGGAUUUCUAUGAAAAUAAGCGAUAUUUAAGGUUAAAAACAGGGAUUUCCAUGAAAAUAAGUGAUAUUUAGGU